rnacentral:lncRNA from 1 species
UUUGACCCCGGUUACGCGACACGUCAAUUUUUGGCGCCGUUGCCGGGGAUGCCAAGAAGAAUCGAAGAAGAUAUAUAGUUUUUUUUUAUUUAUUGGUUUUCGGCUUGUAAUUAAGUUUGGCCGAUUUGUAUUUUUAAUUUUUGGAAGUUUCGGUUUGAUUUGUGUGCUUAAAUGCAUGUUAUAAUAACUUAGUUUAAUUUCUAGGAAGUUUAUAGUUUUAUGUGUGCUUGUGUUUAUUGUAGCUUCUAAAGUGAAACAUGUAGGGGGAAGCCACUUUUGUUAAUCUUAGCCUUAACCCUUCAUGUUAUCUUAUGAUCUCAUGAGGUUGAGGGCGGCUUUGAUUAACACUUGUAGACCGGUCUAGUGACCUGAGUUUGUUCUCAACUGUGUAAGGGGCAAGUUAUUUUCAUAGAUAUGGUUCUCAGGUUUGUUUAACUAGAUCUCAAGGUCAUAGACUGAUAUCUCUUCUCAGUGAAGGGGUCGAUUGGGAGUUCGCUCUCCGUGACCACUAAACGAGUCCUGCCUGGUUCCUGUAGGGGGUUCGCCCUCCGUGAAUCUUAACGACACAGCCUUCUGAAAACACGGAACACGCUCGAACUAGCUAAGAGCUUGGGCCGAAGCAUCACCUCACUUUAGACGCUAGAAAAUAACUUGGUAUAUGUGAUCUAUUUUCUUCAAACCAAUUUGAAUAAAAUCAACUAGAAAGAACUAGGUUGUGGCGCCAUGUAUUUGAACAUAUUGUUGAUUUCGAUGCUUGAAAGUUGUUUACAUACUUGUAUAAAAAUCUGAAGAUUUCAUAUCUAACCCUUGUAUAACCGAUUGUAUGAUUUUGUAACGCUUGAAAUUAUUUUUAUUUUACGAUGAUGCUAACUUGAUCUUGUUCAAAUGUGCCAGAUUGGUUUUGCAGGGUCCCAUGAAUGACCAGUUCUGAUACGUGGACAAGAGAUAGUAAAAACCGAUUGAAGCGUGUUGGAGAAGAGUACGAUCUUGAGGUUCCAUCAACAUCUCAUCCGCACUUACAAUCAGUUUCAUUACC